rnacentral:lncRNA from 1 species
AUGUCAACUUACCAAGAUAACACGGACCACCCAUUACACUUUUUGGGAUUCCCUGCCAGGCCCUGUCACCACAUAUCAAAAAGACGUCUGGUGGCAAGGCCUUUGGGGUACCAUUGUUCCAAAUUAAGUGCCCCCUUUUGGCCUCAGCCCCAAGGGCUCCCAGCCCCUGGCGGCUGGUGCCAUUGGUGCCACAGAAAAAAAAAAAGUGAAAUGCAUAUUUUCCAUUUGUUCCCAGUUAAAUAUGGCAAAUGUUCUGGCCCCAUAAUAUACAGGAAUGUUUCAAUUAUAAGUUAGAAAUAAUGUGUAUGUUACACCCAUGCACAUACAUAUGCUUUCAUACAUACUUACCUGUUGAGAAAUGAUAAAAUAGUUUAUUCUUCCUUUUUAAUAUUUACUAUUGAAAUUGUUGCUUUUUGCAAUGAAAUUUUAGUUGUAGUUCUCAAUUCCAAGUGUAAGUAUUCAAUAGGUGCACAUUUUGUUUACAGAGUCUUAAGUUAACGUUAAAUGUUGUCAAAAAUCCUCAGUUUUAUCAAGCAUUAAAAAAUAUACUUCCAAGUGACAAAAACUUCCCUUUGAAGUUACAUCACAGUUUAUAACUUUUGCAAAGUACUCUCACAGCUUUCUGAAAAAAAUCCCAUACAGUAGCAGAUGGAAAUACAGAAAAAGGUUUAUAAGUCAGGGUUAUGAGUGGUUCAGUGAUUUCAAUGUUAGCUAAAGGACAAAAAGAAAAAAAUGUCUAAGAGUGUAAGAGGAUAAUACAAUCCAGACAACAAAUUUAACUCUGUUACAGAUACAGAGCCAUCUCCAAAGUCAUUAACACAGUUGCCUGAGGUGUCUGCCAAGGAGCCAGAUGUCACUCUUCCAUAACUUAGCGUCUGAUGAUUGCCAUUUAAUCUGAAGGAGAAGGAAGCAUUGUGCUUAGAUGCAACAAAUAUAACGCCUAACCUCAGUGGGAUUUUCAGUUUGUUUUAUAAAAUCAUAAAAUGUGAAUUUACAAGGCCACCUAUAGUGCUCAGGGCAUCUACUUGCAUUCUGUCCAACUGACAACAUUAUUUUUUGGAGAACACUUUGCAACCAUUCAGAGAUUUUAAGCUCAGAAGAAAUGGGUAUGAUCAUUUGAUUUGAUCACCUUCAUAACACAGGCUACUGAACGUAAAUGAUUAAUUCCUUCGCUGAAGGGAAAGGUUGUUAUUAGCUAUACAAAAUGAGAAGAACAAAACAGUUAUAUGAAAUAUUUUUGUAUAAAUAUCAUGUACAAGUAAGAAUAUUUUUUGCAAUAUUCUCAUGCUUUAAUGAACAGAAUUAAAACAGAUUGGUUUUAAAAGUACCAGGAAGAAAAAAAAGCAAAAAAAUUGUUGUGAUAGGAUUUCUCAGAGAAAAUACUUUAUAGGAGAACCCUUAGUAGACUUUAAACAGACUAAGGAAAACUUUGCUAAGCAUAAACCUAGGAUUUAAUAAGAGAUGUUAAACUUUUAUGACCUCAGCCCUAGAAAGGAGAAAAGAUCUCUGUGAGUGAAGGAGGAACUGCUCAGGAAAUAUCAGAAAGAUCUCACAGACAUGAAACAAUAGCUGACUCUACAUGACCAAAUACAAAAAAAACCCUCCCCAGUUUAUUCUUGGGUCCUGAUGCCUUGACAUUAUAUGCCACAUUUAAGAUAUUUUAUUUUUAACCUCUGUUGAGCAAACCAGCUUUGUUUUUCUGACACACAAUGCAAGUGUGACUCUAGGGCUUUGCUCUAGGUACUGCUCCCUUUAGGUUAUUAGACAAAAUUUGUACCCCCUUUGGUUCUCUUGUAUCCAUAGACUUUUAUCCAUAGACUCAUCCCAAAAGCAUUCAGCAUACACUCUUGGGGACAUGCUAUAACACCCCCAAACUGACAGACUGUGACAAAAGCCUUCUAUUAUUCAUUCAAUAAGAAUGAACUUAGGGCAUUGCUACCUUAAGUUACCAGACUUUUUUGUAACUGUGCAGGUCUUGAGGCAUCUGAGAGGAAAUAGGAUCUUGAUGCUUUAGAUUCCAAAAUCAAAAGCUAGUCUCCAAAUUGACCGUAACAUUAAUCAAAAAUAGGUAACCAACUCCAAUACAAAAAGAGAGAAAAAGAUAUUGACUCUAGCUUUUUUCUCAACUCUGCAGACUCAGCAGCAUUCAACAAUAAGCUGGUCUUACAACACUUUAAAUUUCAAAAGACAUUUUCUUUUCUCCCUAACUUUGAGGGCACAGCAGUAUCCAGAAUAAACUGGGAUCCUGAAGCCCUAGAUUCCCA